GCGCGCUCCGACUCCGGUCGAGUGUAGGGGUUGCAUUCGGUCUCUCUGGCUAUUUUGUGUGUUCCCAUCUGACAGCCCACAUUUCUCCGCCGCACGCCUUGGCCACAGGACACGGAGCACUACAAGGACAAGAGGAUAGGAUAAGCUCUCAUUUUCCCAGUCCAUUGGAAAGGAGGUGAAAAAGGCAUGUUAGAAACUGAAAGCAAUGAAGAUUACAGCUACAGUGGAACAAGCAGGCUCUGCUGGCUAGCAUCCUUCCCUGUCCUCAUAGCCAUGACCUGCCACUGCUAAGCGGUUCCCGGACAUUUCAGAUCUGACUAAGAGACAGCCAAGGCGAAGGAAGUCACCAUUUCACUAAGAACGGGCAAACUGCAAUGGAGGAAAAGGGAUCACUGAAUAUGAAAGCUGCCUUCCUGAAACUUCUCAAAGACAGCAUGAUCUCAGAAUUCAAGCUUCUACAAGGUGGCUACCUGGUGUUGUCCAUUUUUGCCUUCUCCUAAAAACACCAAUCAAACCUUGCCCUUUUGACCCACAGAACACAUAAACAUUCUUUCUCCUUAACUGAACUUACU